UACGGGGGGGGCAAGCGUUGUUCGGAAUUACUGGGCGUAAAGGGCUCGUAGGCGGCCAACUAAGUCAGACGUGAAAUCCCUCGGCUUAACCGGGGAACUGCGUCUGAUACUGGUUGGCUUGAAUCCGGGAGAGGGAUGUGGAAUUCCAGGUGUAGCGGUGAAAUGCGUAGAUAUCUGGAGGAACACCGGUGGCGAAGGCGGCAUCCUAGACCGGUAUUGACGCUGAGGAGCGAAAGCCAGGGGAGCAAACGGG
rnacentral:rRNA from 1 species